rnacentral:rRNA from 1 species
UACGGGGGGAGCAAGCGUUGUUCGGAUUUACUGGGCGUAAAGGGCGCGUAGGCGGCCAGCACAAGUCAGUUGUGAAAUCUCCGAGCUUAACUCGGAAAGGUCAACUGAUACUGCGGGGCUAGAGUGCAGGAAGGGGCAACUGGAAUUCUCGGUGUAGCGGUGAAAUGCGUAGAUAUCGAGAGGAACACCUGCGGCGAAGGCGGGUUGCUGGGCUGAUACUGACGCUGAGGCGCGAAAGCCAGGGGAGCGAACGGG